rnacentral:rRNA from 1 species
GACGAACGCUGGCGGCGUGCCUAAUACAUGCAAGUCGAACGAAGUGGGAACGGGUGAGUAACACGUUGGUAACCUCCCAUCAGAGGGGAUAACACUUGGAAACAGGUGCUAAACCGAUCCUGAUGGAUGGACCCGCGGUGCAUUAGCUAGUGGGUGGGGUAACGGCUCACCAAGGCCACGAUGCAUAGCCGACCUGAGAGGUUGAUCGGCCACACUGGAACUGAGACACGGCCCAGACUCCUACGGGAGGCAGCAGUAGGGAAUCUUGGGCAAUGGACGAAAGUCUGACCGAGCAACGCCGCGUGAGUGAAGAAGGUUUUCGGAUCGUAAAACUCUGUUGUUAGAGAAGCGGUAUCUAACCAGAAAGCCACGGCUAACUACGUGCCAGCAGCCGCGGUAAUAC